GUUACAUACCAAGAGUAUAGGCUAAGGACUGGGAAUCCAGAAACAAGAUAUUGUCCUUGGUCUUAAGGGCCUUACGUUUUAAUCGUAGAAGAGAAACCAAAAAUGACAGCAUCAUGCUAUGUUUGUAGAGAAGUGUGCAGGGCUCUCUAAGGAAACAGAAGAAAGGAACGACAGAAAUCAGACCAGGGGUACAUGAUAGGAAAGUUUUAUAGAAAAUGAUGCCUGCACUUGGUUUUGAAACAUAAACAGGAGUGAAUUACUUUCCAAACGGAGGGACAAGAGUUGUUUAAACACUCUUUUAUGUUGGUGGAUUUUACCAUAAUUUUUUUAAAAUUGGUAGGGAAAAAUGCAGUCUUUUGAAAGACUGCUGUGUGUUUGGCAAAGCCAGCAGGAAAGAUGAGUGUUGGGGAAAAGAGGUGGGACAGGCAGUGAUAGCCAGGUCCUGGAGGGCCUUGUUUCCGGAACAGAUGUUUGGAAUUAACCGACGAGAAUGGAAAACCAAUCAGGGGUCUGAAGGUAAGGGGCGAGCGGAGACGCAACGUGGCUGCAUUGAAGGCGGAGCACACGUGCUCCCGUGUGAAGUGGGCGGCCGGCGAGGGAGAGCUCCAGGCAGCAAGGCUGGUCCAAGCAGGGAUGCAGGGACGCAGAGCCCCGCAGUGGCAGUGUGAGAAGCAGGAAGCGUGGUGAGGAUCGGCAGGAAAGAGAACUGAGAGGGCUUCGAGGGUGAGUAAACGCAGGAGGUGAGUGAGAAGGAAGAAUUUAGACCGGCUCCCGUGUUUUCAACGUGGGCAACAGGUGGUGCCAUUUCCCAAGAAGCACUGCUCUGGAAGAAAACAGGCGGCAUUCAGAUUCAAGGGGCUGCCCCUGAGGGCCCCGAGGAAGGGGCAAAGGGGGAAGGCGUCCUAGUCAAGGCAAUAGGAGAAAUAACCGACAUGUGCACAACACUCUACAGAUUACACAAAACUGUUAUUGACAAGUGAGAUGUGACUGGAGCAGACAGUGUGUUGGGGGGCAGGAUUCUUAGGGAAGUUUAUGUGGUUGGGAGGAACAGCCUGUUUACAGAGAGCAGUGAAGAUUCAACCCUGGAGGUCCUGCUAGAUCCAAAAAUUCGAAGAAACUCCAGAAGGGUUGCAUUUAGAGAACCAUUAAAGUUGACAGCUAGCAUCGAUAUUGCAUCUUAUGAAGAAACAUUUUUCUAAAGCAUAUGCUGCUGCUGCUGCUAAGUCACUUCGGUCAUGUCCAGCUCUGUGUGACCCACCAGGCUCAUAGACGUCAGCCCACCAGGCUCCCCUGUCCCUGGGAUUCUCCAGGCAAGAACACUGGAGUGGGUUGCCAUUUCCUUCUCCAAUGCAUGAAAGUGAAAAGUGAAAGUGAAGUCGCUCAGUCGUGUCCGACUCUUAGCGACCCCAUGGACUGCAGCCUACCAGGCUCCUCCAUCCAUGAGAUUUUCCAGGCAAGAGUACUGGAGUGGGGUGCCGUUGCCUUCUCCUUAGUAUAUGCAGAGACAGAAAAUUUUAGUCUUGACAAGUUCAACUCCCUCUUAGGCCAUUUGACUAUGGGCAAAAUAAUGAACUUCUAUAACCUCAGUGUCCCAUCUGUAUAGGAUGGAGGAAAAAUAGCUCCUUCCUCAUGAGUUGUGUGAAUCAGGCAAGAUAAUGUAUGUGAGUCCUUUUGCACAGUCAGUUCAGUUCAGUCGCUCAGUCGUGUCUGACUCUUUGCAACCCCAUGGACUGCAGCACACCAGGCUUCCCUGGUGUGGAAGUGGGCCAUUCCUGGCUUUGAAGAUGAAGGAAAAAGCCGUAAGCCAAGGAAUGCAAGCAGCCUCUAAAAACUAUAAAAGCCUGGAGCAUUCUCUCCUGGAAAACAUUCUAAAAACAUCUAAGAACAUUCUCUCCUAAAAACAUUCUCUCCUGGAGCCUCAAUGGACAUGAGUUUGAGCAAGCUCCGGGAGUUGGGGAGUACUGGAGUGGGGUGCCAUUGCCAUCUCCAAGCAGCAGCAGCAUUAAGCAUCUAUCUACUCUGUGCUAGAGACCAAGUUAGGUGAUGGGAAUACAGUUCUUUCACUCAACAUAUAUAUUGAAUGAGUGGAUUGUAUAUAUCUAAAGGUUUUACUUGUAUCAUUUUUCAUAUAGAAUAAAACAAAGAUUCUUGACCAUGUGGUGCUUACAUUCUAGUGAAGAGACAGAUAAUCAAGAGUGAAAAAGGCAGUUACUCUUCUCAAAGAUACAGACCACUGAGCAAGCGCAACCCUAGGGGAGGAGUGAUGGACAUAACCCAUGGGCCAUUGAGCAGGUCCCCUAACCUGGUUUUGGAGGAUCAGGGAUGGCUUGCUGGAGGAUAUGUGGAUGUUGGGUCAGAUCAGAGUCCUGUAUCUUCCUGUGAUAGGUACAAUAACGGCCCCCAAGUGGAUCCACAUCCUGAUCUCAGGAACCUGUGAAUGUGUUAUGUUAUAUGGCAAGGGAGAAUGAAGUUUGUGGAUAGAAUUAAGUUUGCUAAUCAGCUGAUCUUGAGAUGGAGGGAUUAUCCAGGUGGGCCCAGUAUAAUCCCAAGUGUCCUGAGGAAGGCAAGAGGGUCAGAGUCAGAGUGAUGAGAUGGGAGAAAGACUCAGUGGGCCGUUCCUGGCUUUGAAGAUGAAGGAAAAAGCCAUAAGCCAAGGAAUGCAAGCAGCCUCUAAAAACUAUAAAAGCUUGGAGCAUUCUCUCCUGGAAAACAUUCUAAAAACAUCUAAGAACAUUCUCUCCUAAAAACAUUCUCUCCUGGAGCCUCCAGAAGAGAACACAGCCCUGCUGACCCUUGCUUAUAGUUCAACGAGAGCCAUUUGUUUAGCAUGGAUGAGAUCACCUUAAGAACUGUAGACACAUUUACCAGAGAAAUGGAAAUUCUUCUCCAGAGGAACAAUUUAGGGUUAUCUAGGGAGCACUGAGUCAAGCCUUCAGUAGUGACAGGUACUGUCCUGUUGACAAAUUCAAUUGACUAUCAAGUUAAGGGUGAGGGAAGGGGGGAUUUUAUUCAAAUGUAACCCAGGAAGCAGAUUCUUAGAAAGGAUUGAAGAUUGUAACCCAGGAAGCAGAUUCUUAGAGAGCUCUGAGAACUAUUCCACCUGCUAGAAGUAGAAGGCACAGUCCUAUACAAUUUCGAGACAAAAGAUCAUACGUCAAAAUGACAUACUGAUAUUUUACAUACAAUUCACCCAGGACACACAGUCCAGAUAGACACAAGCAAAGUAAGCAUCAGCAAGUCCUCAUGACCCCCUACAGAGCUGGGCAAGAACUGUUCUUUUAAGAAAUUGUGUUGCUAGCUGUCAGAAGAAAGAAAAAAAAAAAACGAUCUGUACUGUAGAGC
ensembl:lncRNA